GACGGCAGCUAUGUAGUGGUUAGAGCUUCCGCCUCGGAUGCGGGAGGUCGUGGGUUCGAUCCCCGGUCGAGUCA